GGGAAAUUACUACUUGCUCUUACGGCCAAGUAACUGAAUCAGAAAGGAUGCUUGGUUAGGAUGAGGAGAAAAACAUGAGGAUCAUGAGCCAGCCCACUGGAAUAUACAGAAAACAAAUGGAAAAUAAGUAAAUCUCUGUAAUUUUGUCUAGGUGGUUUGUUGUGUUGCUCCAUGUGAAGGAAGGCAAAAGUGUGCUCCAGCAUGUAUAUGAAGCAUAGCAUUCUAAUACCCACUGUCACCUUUCCAGGAAACUACAUUUCUGAUCCUCAUUGCACCAAAUACAGGAACUGUGAAUAUAGAUCAAAUA